GACGAACCGUGCGAACGUUAUUCGGAAUCACUGGGCUUAAAGGGCGCGUAGGCGGGUUGCCAAGUCUGUGGUGAAAUCCUCCAGCUUAACUGGAGAACGGCCGUGGAUACUGGCGACCUCGAGGGGGGUAGGGGCUUGCGGAACUGUGCGUGGAGCGGUGAAAUGCGUUGAUAUACACAGGAACUCCGGUGGCGAAGGCGGCGAGCUGGACCCUUUCUGACGCUGAGGCGCGAAAGCCAGGGGAGCGAACGGG
rnacentral:rRNA from 1 species